GAUCCCUUUUAUCCCUCUUCUCUCUCAUGUUUCUCCCUCUAAAACGACCAGCUACCACCACCCUUGGUGGCGGAGCCACGACGGCAGCACCAACUAGGCAACUACCACCACCAUCCCAACCUCUGGUACCCACCCAAGACCAAUAAACAACAACGGUUUCCUCCAUGAAUCGGCUGUGCUCGAUUGACGACCUUUGAAGAUUCCGAGAAGGAAAGUGAUUGCAGAUACGUUUGCAAGGUCUGUUUCUCCGAUCUACUUCUCGGAUUUAUAGAUCUAUGAUUCGUUAGCUUUUCGUUCGAUCGGAAUGUUGUUUUUCAAACAAAAGUCAAUGUCAAUCAGAUUUAUGGAUCUAGGGCUCGUUGUUUUUUAAUUGGAUGUUGUUAUGAAAUUGUAAUUAAAUGUAAUCUACAUUUUGAUUGUGGGGA